UCCUGGUGGCUCAGACGGUAAAGCGUCUGCCUACAAUGCGGGAGACCCGGGUUCAAUCCCUGGGUCGGGAA
rnacentral:tRNA from 1 species